UGUUUAGUUUUGUUGGGCAUUCGGUGGAUGCCUUGGCAUCAAGAGCUGAUGAAGGACGUUGCGGCCUGCGAUAUGCCUCGGGGAGCUGGCGAGCGAGCGUUAUUAUCCGAGGGUGUCCGAAUGGGGGAACCUAACCUGGGUUGUGCUGGGUUACCAUCAUCUGAACGUGUAUAGGGUGGUGGGGGGAACGCGGGGAAGUGAAACAUCUCAGUACCCGCAGGAAAAGAUAUUCCGUGAGUAGUGGCGAGCGAAAGCGGAGGAGGCUAAACCAGAUGCGUGCCAGAGGCGGCGGCCGUUGCGUGUUUGGUGUUGUGGGGCUACGCUGGAUCCUUCUGCCGGGGGGUCGCGCGUGUUGUUGCUGGGAGUUGAACAGUUUGGGAUGGCUGACCGUAGAGCGUGAGAGUCGUGUAAGCGGACCGGUGAUAGUGUGUGUGGGUGUGGUGCCCGAGUAGCGCGGGACUCGUGAAAUCUCGUGUGAAUCUGCCAAGACCACUUGGUAAGCCUAAAUACUACUUGAUGACCGAUAGUGCAUAGUACCGUGAGGGAAUGGUGAAAAGUACCCCGGGAGGGGAGUGAAAUAGUACCUGAAACCGUGUGCCUGUAAGCCGUCAGAGCCUUGUGGGGUGAUGGCGUGCCUUUUGAAGAAUGAGCCUGCGAGUUAGUGAUACGUGGCGUGCUUAACCCGUGUGGGGUAUGCGUAGCGAAAGCGAGUCUGAAAGAUGGCGUUUGUCGCGUGUUCUAGACCCGAAGCGGGGUGAUCUACCCAUGGUCAGGUUGAAGCAGAGGUAAGACUGUGUGGAGGACCGAACCCACCAGGGUUGAAAACCUGGGGGAUGAACUGUGGGUAGGGGUGAAAGGCCAAUCAAACUCCGUGAUAGCUGGUUCUCCCCGAAAUGCAUUUAGGUGCAGCGUCGCGUGGUCCCUGGUGGAGGUAGAGCUACUGGAUGGCCGAUGGGCCCUGUGGGUUACUGACGUCAGCCAAACUCCGAAUGCCAUUAGGUGUAGCGUGGCAGUGAGACUGCGGGGGAUAAGCUUCGUAGUCGAGAGGGAAACAGCCCAGAUCAUCAGCUAAGGCCCCUAAGCGUACGCUAAGUGGGAAAGGAUGUGGAGUCGCGGUGACAACCAGGAGGUUGGCUUAGAAGCAGCCAUCCUUGAAAGAGUGCGUAAUAGCUCACUGGUCAAGUGGUUCUGCGCCGACAAUGUAGCGGGGCUCAAGCGUACCGCCGAAGCUGUGGCAACAACACGCGAUGCUGGCGCCAGGAACUGGAGUGCUGGUGUGUUGUUGGGUAGGGGAGCGUCCUGCACGAGGUGAAGCCUGGAGGGAACUUCUGGUGGAUUGUGUGGGAGUGAGAAUGCAGGCAUGAGUAACGAAUCUGCGGUGAGAAUCCGCAGCGCCGAUUGACUAAGGGUUCCAGGGCUAGGUUUAUCCGCCCUGGGUUAGUCGGGUCCUAAGGCGAGGCCGACAGGCGUAGUCGAUGGA
rnacentral:rRNA from 1 species